UUUAUCCUACGGGGCGCAGCAGUGGGGGAUAUUGCACAAUGGGGGAAACCCUGAUGCAGCGACGCCGCGUGUGGGAAGACGGUCCUCUGGAUUGUAAACCACUGUCCCCAGGGACGAAGAUGACGGUACCUGGGGAGGAAGCUCCGGCUAACUACGUGCCAGCAGCCGCGGUAAUACGUAGGGAGCGAGCGUUAUCCGGAUUUACUGGGUGUAAAGGGAGCGCAGACGGCAGUGCAAGUCUGGAGUGAAAGCCCGGGGCCCAACCCCGGAACUGCUCUGGAAACUGUGCGGCUAGAGUACUGGAG
rnacentral:rRNA from 1 species